rnacentral:rRNA from 1 species
CCAGCCAUGCCGCGUGAGUGAUGAAGGCCUUAGGGUCGUAAAGCUCUUUCGCCUGUGAAGAUAAUGACGGUAGCAGGUAAAGAAACCCCGGCUAACUCCGUGCCAGCAGCCGCGGUAAUACGGGAGGGGGUUAGCGUUGUUCGGAAUUACUGGGCGUAAAGCGCACGUAGGCGGACUGGAAAGUUGGGGGUGAAAUCCCAGGGCUCAACCCUGGAACUGCCUCCAAAACUAUCAGUCUAGAGUUCGAGAGAGGUGAGUGGAAUUCCCGAGUGUAGAGGUGAAAUUCGUAGAUAUUCGGAGGAACACCAGUGGCGAAGGCGGCUCACUGGCUCGAUACUGACGCUGAGGUGCGAAAGUGUGGGGAGCAAACAGGAUUAGAUACCCUGGUAGUCCACACCGUAAACGAUGAAUGCCAGUCGUCGGGUAGCAUGCUAUUCGGUGACACACCUAACGGAUUAA